UGGGGAAUAUUGGACAAUGGGCGAAAGCCUGAUCCAGCCAUGCCGCGUGAGUGAUGGAGGCCCUAGGGUUGUAAAGCUCUUUUGUGCGGGAAGAUAAUGACGGUACCGCAAGAAUAAGCCCCGGCUAACUUCGUGCCAGCAGCCGCGGUAAUACGAAGGGGGCUAGCGUUGCUCGGAAUCACUGGGCGUAAAGGGUGCGUAGGCGGGUUUCUAAGUCAGAGGUGAAAGCCUGGAGCUCAACUCCAGAACUGCCUUUGAUACUGGAAGUCUUGAGUUCGGGAGAGGUGAGUGGAACUGCGAGUGUAGAGGUGAAAUUCGUAGAUAUUCGCAAGAACACCAGUGGCGAAGGCGGCUCACUGGCCCGAUACUGACGCUGAGGCACGAAAGCGUGGGGAGCAAACA
rnacentral:rRNA from 1 species